rnacentral:rRNA from 1 species
CCUACGCGAUGCAGCAGUGGGGAAUAUUGGACAAUGGGCGAAAGCCUGAUCCAGCCAUGCCGCGUGUGUGAAGAAGGCCUUCGGGUUGUAAAGCACUUUCAGUGGGGAAGAAAGCCUUGGGGCUAAUACCCUCGAGGAAGGACAUCACCCACAGAAGAAGCACCGGCUAACUCCGUGCCAGCAGCCGCGGUAAUACGGAGGGUGCGAGCGUUAAUCGGAAUUACUGGGCGUAAAGCGCGCGUAGGCGGUCUGAUAAGCCGGUUGUGAAAGCCCCGGGCUCAACCUGGGAACGGCAUCCGGAACUGUCAGGCUAGAGUGCAGGAGAGGAAGGUAGAAUUCCCGGUGUAGCGGUGAAAUGCGUAGAGAUCGGGAGGAAUACCAGUGGCGAAGGCGGCCUUCUGGACUGACACUGACGCUGAGGUGCGAAAGCGUGGGUAGCAAACAGGAUUAGAUACCCUUGUAGUC